rnacentral:rRNA from 1 species
UGGGGGAUAUUGCGGCAAUGGGGGGAAACCCUGACGCAGCAACGCCGCGUGAAGGAAGAAGGCUUUCGGGUUGUAACUUCUGUUCUUAGGGAAGAAGACAGUGACGGUACCUAAGGAGCAAGUCACGGCUAACUACGUGCCAGCAGCCGCGGUAAUACGUAGGUGACAAGCGUUGUCCGGAUUUACUGGGUGUAAAGGGCGUGUAGGCGGGAUAUCAAGUCAGUCGUGAAAUACCGAGGCUUAACUUCGGGGCUGCGAUUGAAACUGAUAUUCUUGAGUGUCGGAGAGGAAAGCGGAAUUCCUAGUGUAGCGGUGAAAUGCGUAGAUAUUAGGAGGAACACCAGUGGCGAAGGCGGCUUUCUGGACGAUAACUGACGCUGAGACGCGAAAGUGUGGGAGCAAACAG